rnacentral:rRNA from 1 species
AGUGAACGCUGGCGGUAGGCCUAACACAUGCAAGUCGAACGGCAGCACAGUAAGAGCUUGCUCUUACGGGUGGCGAGUGGCGGACGGGUGAGGAAUACAUCGGAAUCUACUUUUUCGUGGGGGAUAACGUAGGGAAACUUACGCUAAUACCGCAUACGACCUACGGGUGAAAGCAGGGGAUCUUCGGACCUUGCGCGAUUGAAUGAGCCGAUGUCGGAUUAGCUAGUUGGCGGGGCAAAGGCCCACCAAGGCGACGAUCCGUAGCUGGUCUGAGAGGAUGAUCAGCCACACUGGAACUGAGACACGGUCCAGACUCCUACGGGAGGCAGCAGUGGGGAAUAUUGGACAAUGGGCGCAAGCCUGAUCCAGCCAUACCGCGUGGGUGAAGAAGGCCUUCGGGUUGUAAAGCCCUUUUGUUGGGAAAGAAAAGCAGCAGGUUAAUACCCCGCUGUCCUGACGGUACCCAAAGAAUAAGCACCGGCUAACUUCGUG